UGUGUAUGUGUGUGUGGGCAGCCAGGUCAGUCACAGUGUGCUGGUCUCUGUGACACACACCCUGCAGUGGUGUCCCCUGCCUGCAGCAAGCUGUUGUUUGAGCCUGGGCCAGAGCUAAGCUGUGUCCUGGUGGACUGUCACUCCUGCUUACAUCUGCCCUCUGAUCAAAGCCUCUACCAAUGCCCCCUGUGGCCAUCAUGGCUCACCCCAUACCCUCCUUUUCAUUCCUCCCUCUCUCCCUCUCUCCUUUCUCUCUCUUCCUCCGCUCCACCAACCUUGACUCCUGCCCCCUCGCCAUGGCUUGGCUGGCACACGGAGGAUCAGACGCCAGGCUGCUACCACAGCACAGACUGGCAGAGAGAGAGAGAGAGAGAGAGAGAGAGAGAGAGAGAGAGAGAAGAUGGUGAAAGACAGAGAAAGAUAAAGGGAAAGAGAGAGAUGGAGAGAAAAGGUGAAUGACAGAAAGAGAAAGCGAGAGAGAAAGAGACAGAGGAACGGGACAUACUAAGGCAUCGUGGUAUAUCGAGGGGGGACAGACAGAGAGACUGAACGAGGCUGGCUGUUUGGUUGAUGACCCCGUUGAGACACCUUCUUUAUGAUGUCAUAAACAGAAAGGCUAUGGCCAGACUGCUCAUCCAUUAGAAUGACCUUCCUUUUCAUGAUCAGCUCUUGUCAGUAGGCAGCCCCUUUUACAGCCCAGGUAAUGGAUGUUUAUAUAUACAUGCUAUGAUGGCCAAUGUAGCCAUAUAAUUCGACAUAACCAUAUAAUGAUAAUUAUAUCGUCGCAUAGCAGUAAUCCCACCAGCUUGCAUACUUAAUGGGUGGUGAUUGACAGUUUGGAAUAAAUCUUCUCAUUUGGUUGUAGUCACUGGAAUUAAUUACCAGCCAAUUGUGUCAGACAUAUUAAUUUAGGAGAUUAUACAUUCCAUUAACGGAGUACCUUAUUAGCUAGGGUUACAUACGCUAUGCUUGGGUUUCUGCAUUGAAAUGAAAUCGCAUCAGGCAAGAAAUGAGGAACAAAUUUCCAAGGAGGAGUAGCUGCUACUUUCGCAACAGCUAAUGGGGAUUCUAAUAAAAUACCAAAUACAAAGGUAACAUUGGGAAGACUGCUGUGAAGGUAACAUGGGGAGACUGCUGUGAAGGUAACAUGGGGAGGACUGCUGUGAAGGUAACAUGGGGAGGACUGCUGUGAAGGUAACAUGGGGAGGACUCCUGUGAAGGUAACGUGUUGCUACAUUUUCUAAAUGAGCAUUGGCCGGGGGCGGCAGGGUAGCCUAGUGGUUAGAGCGUUGGGCUAGUAACCAAAAGGUUGCAAGUUUGAGUCCUCGAGGUGACAAGGUGUCACGUCCUGGCCAGUAUAAGGGUUAAUUGUUAUUGUAGUUUGGUCAGGACGUGGCAGAGGGUAUUUGUUUUAUGUGGUUCAGGGUGGUGUUUUUGUAGUAAGGGCAUUUGAUUUAGUAUUCCGGGGUUUUUUGGCCACUGUUUGAGAUUCAUGUAUUCUAUGUUUAGUCUAGGUAGUCUGUUUCUAUGUUGAGUUAAUUGGGGUGGACUUCCAAUUGAAGGCAGCUGUGUGGUGUUGCCUUUGAUUGGAAGUCCUAUAUUAGUUGGGUGUGUUUGUCUGUGUGUUUGUGGGAGAUUGUUCUGUGUAUAGCGUCGAGCCUUACAGGACUGUUUAUUGUCGGUGUGUUUCUUUUUGUAUACGUGUUUAUUUUGGGUUUGCCUUCUUUCCUCAUAAUAAAGAAGAUGAGUAUACACAUACCUGCUGCGUUUUGGUCCUCCAUUACCAACGACAACCGUAACAGAAUCUCCCACCAACAAAGGACCAAGCAGCAGAGGAAAAGGGAUUUCGAGUUGGACUGGCGGGAGAGAUGGACCUGGGAGGAAGUUCUGGACGGGGCUGGACCUUGGCACCAGGCUGGGGAGUACCGUCGCCCACGGGAGGAAAUUGAGGGAGCCAAGGCAGAGAGGCGGAGGUACGAGGCCUUGGACGCGCUGAGGGAGAAGCACGAGAGGCACCCCCAAUAUAUUUUUUUGGGGGGGCACACGGGUAGUUUGGCUAGGCCUAGGAAGAGCCGGAAGCCAGCUACCCGUGGUUAUAUGGAGGAGCAUAUGAGGCGGAGGGCGCCAUGUUUCGCUGAAGAGCGCACUAUCUCACCCAUACGCACGCACAGUCCGGUGCGCAUUAUUCCAGCCCCUCGCAGGUGCCGUGCUAGAGCGGGCAUCCAGCCUGGUAGGAGGAUGCCUGUGCAGCGCAUCUGGUCGCCGGUACGCCUCCAAGGACCAGGCUACCCAACUCCCGCUCUACGCACGGCUACCAUCAGGCCCCUGCACAGCCCAGUCCGCUCUGUACAAGCACCCCGCUCGUACAGGGCUACUAGUUCCAUCCAGCCAGGACGGGUUGUGCAGGAGGUAAGAUCAAGACCGCCUGUGCGCCUCCAUAGCCCUGGGUUUCCAGUUCCUGUCUCUCGUGCGGACCCGGAAGUGCGUCAGCCCAGUCCGACUCGUCCUGUUCCCGCUCCCCGCACUAGCCUGGAGGUGCGUGUUCCCAGUCUGGUACGUCCAGUACCAGCACCACGCACCAGGCUUCAAGUGCGUCAUCCCAGUCCGACGUCGCUAGAGCUGCCCGUCAGUCAAGAGUCGCCAGAACUGCCCGUCAGUCCAGAGUCGCCAGAACUGCCCGUCAGUCAAGAGUCGCCAGAACUGCCCAUCAGUCAAGAGUCGCCAGAACUGCCCGUCAGUCAAGAGUCGCCAGAGCCGUCCGUCAGUGAGGAGUCGCCAGAGCCGCCCGUCAGUGAGGAGUCGCCAGAGCCGCCCGUCAGUGAGGAGUCGCCAGAGCCGCCCGUCAGUGAGGAGUCGCCAGAGCCACCCACUAGUCAGGAGCUGCCAGAGUGGCCAGACUGCCCGGCGAUGCCAGACUGGCCAGACUGCCCGGCGAUGCCAGAGUGGCCAGACUGCCCGGCGAUGCCAGAGUGGCCAGACUGUCUUCCGGGUCUGCCAGAGUGGCCCGACUGUCCUGCGGGUCUGCCAGAGUGGCCCGACUGUCCUCCGGCCCAGCCCGAGUGGCCCGUCUACCCGGAGCUGCCGGGUUGGGUCGUCUGCCCGGAACUGCCAGAACCAGAGCCACC
rnacentral:lncRNA from 1 species